GAGGGAGCUGUAGAGCAGGGAGCAGGAAGCUGUGUGUGUCCAGCCCUGACCUGUCCUGUUCUGCCCCCAGCCCCUC